AAAGAACGGCCUCCGAGGAGUCCGCCGCGAGAAUUGCGUCCCGAUUGGCUAGAAGCGCGUGAGGGGGCGCGGCCUUCACUGAUUGGCUUGUAGCCCGGGGCGCCACAAAAGCCGAGGGCUUGCAGUGGUCGGGCGUAGUUUUUCUGCUGAGGCGGGAACCCAAGGAUCGUUUUGAUUGGCAAAACCUCGGUCCGAGAGCGAGACUUACUCUGAUUGGCCAAGCUACCAGGUGUCCGCGAGGGGAUUGGUUUGUAGAAAGAUAAAGGCGGGACCAGGAGAGGAAGUUUUGUGGUCGGCGCACAGCAACGCAGAAGGUGCUGCUUGCGGGAGCUGCGACUUGCUCUGUCUCAGCAACUCCCUCGAUGGCAGUUCCCGAGACCCGUCCCAAUCACACUAUUUAUAUCAACAAUCUCAACGAGAAGAUCAAGAAGGAUGAGCUGAAGAAGUCCCUGUACGCCAUCUUCUCCCAGUUUGGCCAGAUCCUGGAUAUCCUGGUCUCACGAAGCCUGAAGAUGAGGGGCCAGGCCUUUGUCAUCUUCAAGGAGGUCAGCAGCGCCACCAAUGCCCUGCGCUCCAUGCAGGGUUUCCCCUUCUACGACAAGCCCAUGCGCAUCCAGUACGCCAAGACCGACUCGGAUAUCAUCGCCAAGAUGAAGGGCACCUUCGUGGAGCGGGACCGCAAGCGGGAGAAGAGGAAGCCCAAGAGCCAAGAGACCCCGGCCUCCAAGAAGGCCGUGCAGGGCGGGGCAGCCGCCCCCGUGGUGGGCGCCGUUCAGGGUCCUGUCCCGGGCAUGCCGCCGAUGACUCAGACACCCCGCAUCAUGCACCACAUGCCGGGCCAGCCUCCCUACAUGCCGCCCCCUGGCAUGAUCCCGCCUCCAGGCCUCGCGCCCGGCCAGAUCCCGCCCGGGGCCAUGCCCCCCCAGCAGCUUAUGCCUGGGCAGAUGCCGCCUGCCCAGCCUCUUUCAGAAAACCCACCAAAUCACAUCUUGUUCCUCACCAACCUGCCAGAGGAGACCAACGAGCUCAUGCUUUCCAUGCUUUUCAACCAGUUCCCUGGCUUCAAGGAGGUCCGGCUGGUCCCCGGGCGGCACGACAUCGCCUUUGUGGAGUUUGACAACGAGGUGCAGGCGGGGGCCGCUCGCGAUGCCCUGCAGGGCUUCAAGAUCACCCAGAACAACGCCAUGAAGAUCUCCUUCGCCAAGAAGUAGCACCCUUUCCCCAUGCCCGCCCCUGCCCCCUGUUCUGGGGCCACCCCCCCUCCCCUCGGCUCAGUCCCCUGAAGAAUAUUCCAGGUGCUGGGGCCGCUCAGCCUGUUGGGGAUUGCAUCACCUUUUUCCACACAAAAAUGCCUUCUGUCCUACAAGAGUCCUACACAAACCACUCCAGAAAUGGGAUUUCUACUGCCAAUAAGCUCAGUCUACUGCUGUCUCUGCAGUUGUUUCUCGUCGGCUUUAUGCAAAUACAUCAGCCAAAUGACAA